rnacentral:rRNA from 1 species
UCCGUAGGGGGCAAGCGUUGUCCGGAUUUACUGGGCGUAAAGGGCGUGUAGGCGGCUGGAUAAGUGGGAUGUUAAAUCCCCCGGCUCAACCGGGGACCUGCAUCUCAUACUGUUCAGCUCGAGCACAUCAGAGGAGACUGGAAUUCCCGGUGUAGCGGUGAAAUGCGUAGAUAUCUGGAGGAAUACCGGUGGCGAAGGCGGCAUCCUGGACCGACAUUGACGCUGAGGAGCGAAAGCUAGGGGAGCAAACGGG